AUUGAACGCUGGCGGCAUGCUUUACACAUGCAAGUCGAACGGCAGCGCGGGCUUCGGCCUGGCGGCUAGUGGCGAACGGGUGAGUAAUGCAUCGGAACGUGCCCAGUAGUGGGGGAUAGCCCGGCGAAAGCCGGAUUAAUACCGCAUACGACCUGAGCGUGAAAGCGGGGGACCGAAAGGGAUCGCGCUAUUGGAGCGGCCGAUGUCGGAUUAGCUAGUUGGUGGGGUAAAGGGUUACCAAGGGGACGAGCCGUAGCUGGUCUGAGAGGACGACCAGCCACACUGGGACUGAGCCACGGCCAAGCCUCCUACGGGAGGCAGCAGUGGGGAACUUUGGACAAUGGGGGCAACCCUGACCCAGCCAUGCCGCGUGCGGGAAGAAGGCCUUCGGGUUGUAAACCGCUUUUGUUCGGGAAGAAAUCCUCUGGGCUAAUACCCCGGGGGGAUGACGGUACCGGAAGAAUAAGCACCGGCUAACUACGUG
rnacentral:rRNA from 1 species